rnacentral:lncRNA from 1 species
GGUGAGUCAAAUUUUAUUGAAAUUAAAAUGGAGGCGCUUACAAUUCUGAAUUGAGGAAAUAAAAAUGAAGGGAAAUAAAUAGACCUAUUCUAAAAGCACCUAAUGGGAAAGGAUACAAGGGACACAUAACCUGAGAUGCAACGUAGAUAUCGUCGUGCCCCGUGGCGUUGUACAAGUGCUUUAUCUUAGCGCAUAUACCAUGACGGAGGACACGGAAGUUGUCCUUAAG